GCGCGAGUGGCGAAACUGGUAUACGCACUGGAUUUAGGUUCCAGCGGCUUCGGUCUUGUGAGUUCGACUCUCACCUCGCGCA
rnacentral:tRNA from 1 species